rnacentral:rRNA from 1 species
UGAGGAAUUUUGCGCAAUGGGGGAAACCCUGACGCAGCAACGCCGCGUGGGCGAUGAAGGCCUUCGGGUUGUAAAGCUCUGUCUUCAGGGACGAUAAUGACGGUACCUGAGGAGGAAGCCACGGCUAACUACGUGCCAGCAGCCGCGGUAAUACGUAGGUGGCGAGCGUUGUCCGGAUUUACUGGGCGUAAAGGGAGCGUAGGCGGACUUUUAAGUGAGAUGUGAAAUACCCGGGCUCAACUUGGGUGCUGCAUUUCAAACUGGAAGUCUAGAGUGCAGGAGAGGAGAAUGGAAUUCCUAGUGUAGCGGUGAAAUGCGUAGAGAUUAGGAAGAACGCCAGCGGCAAAGGCGAUUCUCUGGACUGUAACUGACGCUGAGGCUCGAAAGCGGGGGGAGCAAACA